GUUGCCGGGCCGGGCGGUGAUUUUCUCUCACCGCUUGGGCGAACUGGGAAUCGUUGUAGGGGGGCUGCCGGGGCGCUGGGAGUUUGUGUUUGUGCGAAAAACGCGUUUAUCCUGCAAAAUGCGGGAUUUCAAGGACGCCGACUGGCUGUGGCAACUAUUAAGGAGGACGCUGUCACUUGCAAUGUUUUGUUGUUAAUGUCACGUCAGGGAUUUGAGGUUUCAUGGAAUCAUGAAGGCUGGAAAAGACCUCUAAGAUUGCCUACUCCAACCGUCAGCACAUCUGCACCGUAAACACUGACCAUGUCCUUCGGUGCCAGUUUGCAUAGUGCUGUAGGAUAAGAUGAGAGGAAACUUCUGCUUUCAACCUUUGGUAACCAUAUGGAAAUGGCUUUGCCCAUUAAUGCACUGCUUCCACUGGACCUUGAAUAUUAGCCCAGUAUUAGUGAAGAUUCCAAGUCAUACAGCAAGGCACUGCUUCCUGCACGGAUCCUGGGCCUGUGGAUUUGCAACGACCCCUUCGGACCAGUGAAAUGGCACGGCUGGGACUGGGGCUGCCCGAGGAAUUUCCUCCUCUCCUCCUCCAAGCUCUAUCUUGACAGCUGAGAGCAGCCAGAACAUUCCUGCCAGCACACCCCAAACGUGCACAUCUGGAGAGUGUAAGCUCUGCUUUCCUUGUGAAACAUCCUCAGCUCAGGAAUUUACUUCUCCCAGCGGCCUAGCAGAGCCGAGGUCUACUGACCUUUGGGGCACGAUGUAAGGCCCAUCUGUUUGCUCAGAGUGUGCCUGAGGGUCUGGCAGUGAGGCUUAUGGUUAACUUGUCCCCUGGGAGUCUGCAAGAACAGUGGCCAGCACGCUAUGUAUCUGUUGGUUUUUUUUUAAACCAUCUCUAUGCAUGCAGGCUGUCUGCAAGUUAACAUUCACAGGGAAAAUAAACAAAAUAAUUUUACUUCACAGGCAUUUUAUAGUAAAUAGAUUUAUUGAAAGGACCCCCUCCGAUUCUUUACAUGUGACUAAGAGUGUGAACCCUCCUCCGCUGCUCUUCUUUGGUCCCAGAAAGAAAGCACAUCACAGCCACUGCCAUAACAACAAACUGGGAUAGCAUGUUCAGGAUUAAAUCAGCACUGAAUCAUAAAACAGAAAGUCCUAAUUAAAACUUUAAAAACUUCAGAGUAAGAAAGAAAUGCAUUUCUUCCCUCUUGGUUUUUUUUUUUUUUUUUUUUUUUUUU